GAUGAACGCUGGCGGCGUGCCUAAUACAUGCCAGUCGAGUGAACGGACGAGAAGCUUGCUUCUCUGAUGUUAGCGGCGGACGGGUGAGUAACACGUGGAUAACCUACCUAUAAGACUGGGAUAACUUCGGGAAACCGUAGCUAAUACCGGAUAAUAUUUUGAACCGCAUGGUUCAAAAGUGAAAGACGGUCUUGCUGUCACUUAUAGAUGGAUCCGCGCUGCAUUAGCUAGUUGGUAAGGUAACGGCUUACCAAGGCAACGAUGCAUAGCCGACCUGAGAGGGUGAUCGGCCACACUGGAACUGAGACACGGUCCAGACUCCUACGGGAGGCAGCAGUAGGGAAUCUUCCGCAAUGGACGAAAGCCUGACGGAGCAACGCCGCGUGAGUGAUGAAGGUCUUCGGAUCGUAAAACUCUGUUAUUAGGGAAGAACAUAUGUGUAAGUAACUGUGCACAUCUUGACGGUACCUAAUCAGAAAGCCACGGCUAACUACGUG
rnacentral:rRNA from 1 species